GUCCAACUGAAGAGUCCCCAAUAGGACGAAACGCGAGUCCUGGGU
rnacentral:hammerhead_ribozyme from 1 species